rnacentral:rRNA from 1 species
AGCGAACGCUGGCGGCAGGCUUAACACAUGCAAGUCGAGCGGGCGUAGCAAUACGUCAGCGGCAGACGGGUGAGUAACGCGUGGGAACGUACCUUUUGGUUCGGAACAACUGAGGGAAACUUCAGCUAAUACCGGAUAAGCCCUUACGGGGAAAGAUUUAUCGCCGAAAGAUCGGCCCGCGUCUGAUUAGCUAGUUGGUGAGGUAACGGCUCACCAAGGCGACGAUCGGUAGCUGGUCUGAGAGGAUGAUCAGCCACAUUGGGACUGAGACACGGCCCAAACUCCUACGGGAGGCAGCAGUGGGGAAUAUUGGACAAUGGGCGCAAGCCUGAUCCAGCCAUGCCGCGUGAGUGACGAAGGUCUUCGGAUUGUAAAGCUCUUUUGGCGGGGACGAUAAUGACGGUACCCGCAGAAUAAGCCCCGGCUAACUUCGUGCCAGCAGCCGCGGUAAU